GAUAGUGAGUGAGUUCUCUUGAGAGCUGAUGGUUUUAUAAGGGACUUUUUCCCCUUUUGCUCGGCACUUCUCCUUGCUGCCACAAUGUAAAGAACAUGUUUGCUUUGCGUUCCGCCAUGUUUGUAAGUUUCCUGAGGCCUCCUCAGCCAUGCUGAACUGCACUUCUUGCUGCCACCAUGUGAAGAAGGAUGUGUUUGCUUCCUCUUUUGCCACGAUUGUAAGUUUCCUGAGGACUUCCCAGCCAUGCUGAACUCAGAAGAGGAAGUUGGAGACAUGUGAGGUGCAGGAAGGAUUCUAAGCAGUGUUGCUGGCUUUGAAGAUGGAAGGCAUUGUACCUCAAUGAAUGUGACUGGUUUCUAGAAGCUGAGGGUAGCCAGCCCCCAGAUGACAGCCAACAAGGAAACAGGGACCUUGGUUCUCCAACCACAGAAAAUAGAUUCUACCAACAAGAAUGAGCUUGAAAGCAGAUUCUUCCCUCGCACUUAAAGUCUCCUGCAACUAUGGUGAUACACCUUGAUCCGGCAUCUUCCAUUCACCUCUCCAGAUUCAUUCUCCAUGCCUCAGUACUCUGUGCUAUUUCCCAGAAGGCUGAUCCUUAAGGACUACACCUGUGGACUCCCUUGUCACUGGCAAUGGGACAAUGGGAGGUGCCAGCAGAAAAUCAGAGUGAUGAAGAAUGAGGUCUGGGUAUUUAUCUCCUGGCUUUCUGUAAGUAUACAAGGUGAUAAAAAGGAAAAUGAUUCCUAACAACUUGGGGGUAUGUGGAAGCAGGGGAAGGGGGUGCUGUGGGCUGAACUGUGUUUCCUCAAAGUCAUAUGCUGAAGCUCAAACUCCUAAUGUGACUGUAUUUGGAGCAGGGGCUUUUAGGAAGUAAAGUUAAAAGAUGUCACAAGGUGAAGGUCACAAUCCAUUGGAAUAGGUGACCUUAUAAGAAAAGGGAGAGAGAUCUCUUCCUCUCCAGACACACACACACACACACACACACACACACACACACACACACACCAAGGAAAGGCCAUGUGAGCACAUGGUGAGAAGGCAGCCGUCUGUAAGCCAGGAAGAGAGACCUCACCAGAACUCAACCAUGUUGGCACCUGAUCUCGAACUUUCCAGCCUCUAGAACUGGAAGAAAGUACAUUUCUGUUUAAACUACCAGGUACGUGAUAUUCUGUUAUGGCAGCCUGAAAAGACAUACAUGGGCAGGGAAGACUUCUCAGAGGUAUUUCUUGAGCUGAGACUUUUUGUUUCCUAGUGGUGGGAGGUAGGGUUUUCCAGGCAGAGAACACCAUGCAAUAAGGCACAAAAUUUCAGGGAAUAGUAUGUAUCAAGCACUUGGAUCAUAGAGUGCUUGGAAGGGAAGUGGAAGAGGCUGGAAAAGCAAGCAGAGGCCAGAUGUUAGGGUUUAACGUCAAAGGCCAAGAAAUUUGCCUAAAAGAAGUCCAGUGGGAAACUACUGAGGGUUCUUAAGUCAUCUGAAGUAUGUAAUAGUAUCCAUGUUCAAAAGACCGUUCUUGUGAUUGUGUGAAAGGCCAGACUAAUAAAGAGGUAGAGAAUAAUUUAACUCUGAUUUUUGAAAUGUGCCCGAUGGAGCCCUCAGGGCCCUAAGUCAAGGAUCACCAUGAAGCUGGAGGAGGAGGCUAAGUGGGCAGGGUCAUGGGAUCCCAUGUCUACCUCACCCACAUAAGUUCUGUGGCCCUAGACUAGACCUGGAAUCUUUGUUACACUCAGGACAACUAGUCUAGAAUAUUUUACUUCAAAGACUGUACUGAAAGAGGCUACGUAUGGAGGUCAAAGGCACCUGCUUCAGCUCUUUUAGCUAUGGUGAAAAAGUCAGGGAAUUAUCAAGAAUUCUGAGAGAAAUGUGACUGGACCCAUGCCAGGAAGAUGUCAGAACUACUAAGAAAUACCAAUGGGGUGGACUGUUAUCAACCCCAGCUGAAUGACAGGCCAUAUGCAAAGUCCUAGACUAUUAUGGCUCUUAGAUUUUCAGACUACACCCAGUUGAUUAAAUGAGUCUGUGUGAUAAAUUGAAAUGUAAAAGGUUAUUUUCAUGCCAUGGAGAUCUGCUCUU